rnacentral:lncRNA from 1 species
AGCUGAGCAGCUUUCCCCAACGUGGAAGGGACCACGCAAGGACACCUGAGUUCUCCAACAGACGUUCAACGCCAAGGGAUUCACAGUUCUGGGAGGUGAUCUCUGAUGAACAUGCUAUCGACUCCGCUGGCACCUACCACGGGGACAGCCACCUGCAGCUGGAGCGCAUCAACGUGCACCACCACGAGGCCAGCGGUGCGACCCCCGUCCUUCCCCCACCCAAUGUGCACCACCACGAGGCCAGCGGUGCCGCGCUGUGCUCGUGGAUCUGGAGCCGGGCACCAUGGACUCUGUGCGCUCGGGGCCCUUCGGGCAGGUCCUCAGGCCAGACAACUUCAUCUUCGGUGAGCUGCGGGCGAGGACUGGGGUGCGGCUCCUUAGCCAGGGCAGCUCAAAAUCCAGGAACGCUCCAAGGUCAUCCUGUGGGAACUGUGGCGCCAGGGCCCCUGAACACCCUCCUAUCUGCCGAGUCGAGUCGCUCAAUCUGCCUCUCUUAAACGGGCUUCGGGAGGAAGUCCCGGG